GAGAGCUUUCGGAGCUCGGCAUACUGCUCAGUAACACGUGGAUAACCUGCCCUAUUGUCUGGAAUAACCUCGGGAAACUGAGAACAAUGCCGGAUAGCUCACAAUGCCUGGAACGGUUUGUGGGUGAAAUUUUACAAUAGGAUGGGUCUGCGGCGUAUCAGGUCGUAGGGGGUGUAAUGGACCUCCUAGCCAUCGACGCGUACGGGUGUUGGGAGACAUAGCCCGGAGAUGGAUUCUGAGUCACGAAUCCAGACCCUACGGGGUGCAGCAGGCGCGAAAACUUCACACUGCAGGAAACUGUGAUGAGGGAACUCCAAGUGCUAUCACUAUGUGGUAGCUUUUCUUAACUAUUAAUCGGUUUUGGAAUAAGGGCUGGGAAAGACCGGUGCCAGCCGCCGCGGUAAUACCGGCAGCUCAAGUGGUCGUCGCUUUUAUUGGGCCUAAAACGUCCGUAGCCUGUUUGGUAAAUCUGUGGGUAAAUCAACCAGCUUAACUGGUUGAAUUCUGCAGAGACUGCCAGACUAGGGACCGGGAGAGGUGUGGGGUACUCUAGGGGUAGGGGUAAAAUCCUGUCAUCCUUAGAGGACCACCAGUUGCGAAGGCGCCACACUGGAACGGAUCCGACGGUCAGGGACGAAGCCUAGGGGCACGAACCGGAUUAGAUACCCGGGUAGUCCUAGGUGUAAACGCUG
rnacentral:rRNA from 1 species